CUAAGCAGCAAUCGUGCGCCGCAGCCCCCUUCGUCUUCUUUCGUUUUCUUUUUCUUUGUGGAUCUUCUGGUUCGUCUUAUUCUUCUUCGUGGUCGUCUUUUUCUUCGUGUUUUUCUUCACCGACUGGCUGUCCACCGCCCUACACCCCUGAACCUCGCACCGCCUCGCACCGCCUCACUGUCUUCGGCCGUCGACCGCGUUCCACUGCUGCCCGCAGACGUCCACUGCAAAAAAAAAGAGCCAAUUAGCGAAGGAUUUUGUUCACCAAUUUUAUUUCGCUCGCAGAUAGGACAAGUAGAUUUUCAAAUCCAUCGCUAUUAGGAAGGGAUUUUGGAAAAAGAUUUAAAUUUCCUCUACAAAUUAUUUUUUCAUUUUAGGCAAAAACUAAAAUAAAUAUAUCCUAAACCUGGUCCAAUAUCCCCCUCCAAUUCCAACCGAUUCUGCCCUCACGGAUCUGCUCGCCCUCGUCGACCAUCUGCUCUGCCGGGCGCCGCUUCAAGGCAGCCUAAAAACAACCAGAGCUUGGCAAUCAUCUCUUGUGUGGUUGAUUUUCACCUGAGCGCAGAAGUUUGAGGGAAACAACCGCUUUCGCAUCCUACGCUGCACAAGGGUACAGCUUCAUCGCUUCUGCGUUAGGCGUCGAUCUAGGCACUCCCCGCCUCUGUAAACGCUAUUGAUGCCUAGGAAUCCAAGGAUAAGCAGCCAUGUGACCUGUAUGAAAAUGACUCUGUUUUAUACAAAUUUGAGUGCUACUUAAGUGGUGACUGCCAGCGAGUGGCCACAAGUUCAUAUAGCAAUUUGUUCUGCGUAUUUGGUUGUUCUCCCAGAAGACCCGAAGCAAGAACAUUGGAAGAAAGCAAAAAUCCAGUGAGGUACAAUUUACUAUAUAGUUGGUGGAGGCAGAACACAUAUAUAAGUUUAUAUAUAUGUCUGUGUAUUGUUUGUAUGAAUUAAUAUUGCAAUCAGAAAAGGGGAGGGUUGGGUACAUCAACCACAAGAAUUACUUGGAAUAUAAGGUUUGGGGACCACCUCCAAAUUUAAAUCCAACUGCCACCACAUCAAUUGCAUAUCUCGUGUAUUAAUUAGUUUUGAAUUGUACCAUUUGGGGCGAGUCAUGUCGUUUCAUACUCACAUGUUUUGCAUUGUUCUAGCCGCACAGAUGGAAGGUCAGAGACCCCGGGGACUGAUGUCCUUACCCCGUUGACGGUGACAUUGUUGAAAUAGUAAGGGUUUUUGUUACAUCUGCUACUGUUCCGGAGGCUGCACUUAUUCUACGGACAACUUCCGGAGCACAAACACUCGGUGAGGUUGUCCGCGCCGAGCCAAUCGACUGGACAUUUAAAGAUGUACGCAACCACAUUUAGAAGAUUUUCUAAUGGAUUACAACUUAAUCAUCUCACAAAUAAAUUCUUAUAUAAUUUUGCACAAUGUUGGCAACUUGUUCGUCGCCCGUAACUACGGUGUACGGCCACUUUGACGGUGCAUGGGGCGUUGCAGCAUGGCACGUGAUUCUAUGAUGAUUGACGUUUGUUUGUGGAUUGAUGCUAAUUGAGUCCUUUAUGUUGGUUGAACUUGCUGUCUCUGCUCAUUUUGUGUUUUUGUUGCUACGUUUGCCAUAUAUGUUAGGCUACAUUGCGAAAUAUUUAUGUUUCCACACAGUGCGUACUUGCUACAACUUAUGGUGAUACAGAAUUGCUGUAAUAUUUUCAUAUUUUGUAAUAUCAUUUGGCAGUAUUUUCUCA